rnacentral:rRNA from 1 species
CCUACGGGGGGCAGCAGUGAGGAAUAUUGGUCAAUGGACGAGAGUCUGAACCAGCCAAGUAGCGUGAAGGAUGACUGCCCUAUGGGUUGUAAACUUCUUUUAUAUGGGAAUAAAACGUUCCACGUGUGGGAUUUUGUAUGUCCCAUAUGAAUAAGGAUCGGCUAACUCCGUGCCAGCAGCCGCGGUAAUACGGAGGAUCCGAGCGUUAUCCGGAUUUAUUGGGUUUAAAGGGAGCGUAGGUGGAUUGUUAAGUCAGUUGUGAAAGUUUGCGGCUCAACCGUAAAAUUGCAGUUGAAACUGGCAGUCUUGAGUACAGUAGAGGUGGGCGGAAUUCGUGGUGUAGCGGUGAAAUGCUUAGAUAUCACGAAGAACUCCGAUUGCGAAGGCAGUUCACUGGACUGCAACUGACACUGAGGCUCGAAAGUGUGGGUAUCAAACAGGAUUAGAUACCCGAGUAGUC